AUUGAACGCUGGCGGCAUGCCUAACACAUGCAAGUCGAACGAGUGGCGGACGGGUGAGUAAUGUCUGGUAAACUGCCUGAUGGAGGGGGAUAACUACUGGAAACGGUAGCUAAUACCGCAUACCAUCAGAUGUGCCCAGAUGGGAUUAGCUUGUUGGUGGGGUAACGGCUCACCACAGCGCCGCUCCCUAGCUGGUCUGAGAGGAUGACCAGCCAAACUGGAACUGAGCAACGGUCCAGACUCCUACGGUAGGCAGCAGUGGGGAAUAUUGCACAAGGGGCGCAAGCCUGAUGCAGCCAUACCGCGUGUAUGAAGAAGGCCUUCGGGUUGUAAAGUACUUUCAGCGGGGAUGCGGUACCCGCAGAAGAAGCACCGGCUAACUCCGUGCCAGCAGCCGCGGUAAUUC
rnacentral:rRNA from 1 species